UGAGGAAUUUUGCGCAAUGGGAGCAAUCCUGACGCAGCAACGCCGCGUGGGUGAUGAAGGCCUUCGGGUCGUAAAGCCCUGUCAGGUGGGAAGAAUGUCCAGGGACUGAACAGGUUCCGGGAGUGACGGUACCACCAGAGGAAGCACCGGCUAACUCCGUGCCAGCAGCCGCGGUAAUACGGAGGGUGCGAGCGUUAUUCGGAAUUACUGGGCGUAAAGCGCGUGUAGGCGGUCCGGCACGUCUGAUGUGAAAGCCCCGGGCUUAACCCGGGAAGUGCAUUGGAAACUGUGGGACUAGAGUACGGGAGAGGAUGGGGGAAUUCCCGGUGUAGAGGUGAAAUGCGUAGAGAUCGGGAGGAAUAUCAGUGGCGAAGGCGCCCAUCUGGACGGUAACUGACGCUGAGACGCGAAAGCGUGGGGAGCAAACA
rnacentral:rRNA from 1 species